rnacentral:rRNA from 1 species
UUAAAACCCAAAGGACUUGGCGGUGCUUUAGAUCCACCUAGAGGAGCCUGUUCUAGAACCGAUAAUCCCCGUUUAACCUCACCUUUCCUUGCCUAAUCCGCCUAUAUACCGCCGUCGUCAGCUUACCCUGUGAAGACCCUAAAGUAAGCAAAGCUGGUUCACCCUAAAACGCCAGGUCGAGGUGUAGCGAAUGGGAGGGGAAGAGAUGGGCUACAUUCAAUAGCUUGUACUGAAUACGAACGACACCCUGAAAAAGGUGCCCAAAGGAGGAUUUAGUAGUAAGCGGAGAUUAGAGUGCUCUACUGAAAUUGGCCCUGAAGCGCGUACACACCGCCCGUCACUCUCCCCGAAACUUACAAAAUAAAUUACUAAUAAACUAAAACUAUAAAGGGGAGGCAAGUCGUAACAUGGUAAGUGUACCGGAAGGUGCGCUUGGCAAAAC